rnacentral:rRNA from 1 species
GACGAACGCUGGCGGCGCGCUUAACACAUGCAAGUCGAACGGAAAGGCCUGCUUUCCCUUGUGGAUUGCGGGUACUCGAGUGGCGAACGGGUGAGUAACACGUGAGUUAUCUGCCCCCAACUUGGGUAUAAGCCUGGGAAACUGGGUCUAAUUCCCGAUAGGACUGCAGGGUGGUGCCUGUGGUGGAAAACGAUUUUCUAGUGGUUGGGGAUGAGCUCGCGGCCUAUCAGCUUGUUGGUGGGGUAAUGGCCUACCAAGGCGGCGACGGGUAGCCGGCCUGGGAGGGUGGACGGCCACAUUGGGACUGAGAUACGGCCCAGACUCCUACGGGAGGCAGCAGUGGGGAAUAUUGCACAAUGGGCGGAAGCCUGAUGCAGCGACGCCGCGUGGGGGAUGACGGCCUUCGGGUUGUAAACUCCUUUCGACCGCGAGGAAGCCACCUGGUUGGAAGGGUGGUGACGGUAGUGGUAGAAGAAGCACCGGCUAACUACGUG